UAUAAUUUAAAGUAGGGCCUGCCCACUGAAUUUUUAAAGGGCCGCAGUAUUUUGACUGUGCAAAGGUAGCAUAAUCAUUAGUUUUUUAAUUGAAAGCUUGUAUGAAUGGUUUGAUGAAAAAAUAACUUUCUAUGUUUAAAUUUUUAAAAAUUUUAUUUUUAAGUUAAAAAGCUUAAAUUUUUUUAAUAGACGAGAAGACCCUAUAGAGUUUAAUUUUAAUAAAUUUUUAAAUUUAUAGAAUUAAGAAAUUUUAAAUUUUAUUAUAAUUUGGUUGGGGUGACUGAAAAAUUUAAUGAACUUUUUUUAAUUAUAUACAUAGAUUUAUG
rnacentral:rRNA from 1 species